rnacentral:lncRNA from 1 species
CCUCCCCUCCCAUCCCCCGCCUUCGCCGUUUCCAAAUUUCCGCCUUUUCCCUAAUUUUCCGCUGCUCCAGAAGGACCCGCUUCACCCCGCACCCGCAGUAGGGUGCGCGCAGCCCUCCCUACAUUUCACGGUGUUUUUCCGAAGUUUCGGGCAACCCUUAAAAAGCAGUAAGUUUCCCCUAUUUUUAGGCUUAUUUUGAUUGAGAUUUUUUUUUUGUCUUUUUUUUCCGCGGAGGAGGAAGAUGGGCGAGGGAAGCCCCGCCAGGAGCAUUAAACCCUGCUCCGCGCAGCUCCGCGGGUGCGGAGGGGGGCAGCUCCCCGCGGCGCCGCCAGGGGGCAGCAGCGCUCCGCAGGACACCGCAUCACCCCCCCACCUCCCCGCAUAGUCCCUGUGUCCGUCCGUGUCCCCCCCGCAUUGGGGUUACCAUCGACCGUCUGUCCGUCCGUCCGUCGGUCCGUGCCCCGCUCAGCUCCGCAGUUGCCCCCCAAAAAAUGGAAGUGCCUCCCACGAAAGCAAGACUGGGAAGAAACUGUUCUUCAGAAGUUAUCUGGAGGAAAACACCUUAUAAAACUUGAUCUUUGGCUGCAAUAUUAUUCUUACUUAUUUAUUUUUAAGUUUCCAAAGAAACGUGCACUUUCCUUCUUCUCUAGGAAAAGGUAGCCAUUGCUCUUCUUUAGACUGGACAUUUCUAAUUUGUUCCGUCUGUCAGAAUGGGACUGUGAGACGUUUUUGGUGCAAAUUCAUUAUCUCUGGCAACGCACAACGCAUAGUAGGAACUGAAAAAGACCGUGGCAAUGGAUGAACAAUAGGGCUUCAGUUCAUCAGCAACAAAAGCGUUGGGGAAAUUGGUUGAAUUUCAGAGCACGUCCUCCUCAGCAGAGAGGGCUGGACUAGACCUUGGCCAACCCCCCCACCACCCCCCCCAAAAAACAAACUUGCAGAGCCUCACAUGCAACACUUCACUUUUUAGUCCUGGAAGCGUAGGAAGCAAUAUGGAAAAAGAAGGAGGAAAAAA